AACAGGACAGACCUCAUGGCCCAUUUAUCGCGAAUCGGUGGCACAUCAGUGCAAGAUUCUGUACGCAAAAUUAUGCGGAGAUGCAUGUGUGACACGUUGGCCCAGGACUUUUCUCUGACUGGGAGAAAAGGAAAAAGGCCAUUUAUUGGGCUAUACCUGCUCCAAGUCCUCACAGAAACGCUGAAAAGCAAUUUCGCACAGGCCACGGAGUCACAAAUACAUCUUUCGAUUGCCGAAUGGCUCCGUUAUGCACCAUCAAGACAGAAGAAACGGGAUGCAGCUUCGCCUUUGAUGUCAUGAAUCAGACCAUCAUCAUGAGCAGCUGGAGGCCACCAGGGGACAAGGGGACAAGAAGUUUCUAGAUGUGCUGAAUUUUUGAGGCAAAUGUUGACAGUACUUUAAAUUUGUAGUUUUCCAGUGCAACGGCACAUGGCCAAACAAGGGAUGAAGGAGACUUGGAAGAAAACAGUGCAGCAACAGGGACAAGACAGAAGACUGUACAGGUGCUGACUAGCAACUGAAGGUUUAUUGAAAAGGAAAACAUAAAAUAUACUCCCUUUACAACCUAGAGCACGCAUGGUCUACACCAACAACUCUGAUAAGCUGUCAGCUUCAGUUUUGGUGGUCAGCUACAACAGUUCGCAGUGAUGAACGAGGACGGAUGGGGUCCGCAACACAUGCAACACAUGCUAUUCUUGUUGUGUAAAUAGUUUACUGAAGUGUUUGAUAUUUGUAACAUGCAAGUUCAGAGGUG